GCGAGACUGCCGUGGAUAACACGGAGGAAGGUGGGGACGACGUCAAAUCAUCAUGCCCCUUAUGUCCUGGGCUACACACGUACUACAAUGGCAACAACAAAGAGCAGCAAGUCCGCGAGGCCAAGCGAAUCUCAAAAUGUUGUCCCAGUUCGGAUUGCAGGCUGCAACUCGCCUGCAUGAAGUCGGAAUUGCUAGUAAUGGCAGGUCAGCAUACUGCCGUGAAUACGUUCCCGGGCCUUGUACACACCGCCCGUCACACCAUGAGAGUCUGCAACACCCGAAGUCGGUAGUCUGACUGUAAAGAGGACGCCGCCGAAGGUGGG
rnacentral:rRNA from 1 species